GCGGCGGCGGCGGCAGUCCAUGCCCUGGUCCAGGCGAGGUAGCAUCUUCCCACUUUCGCGACGGCAGCAGCGAAGCCGGCGGACGGAGAAGUUGGGAACGGCGGCGGCGGCGGGAGUAGGAACCCACACGCGGGCUUCUCGGAGGGCGGGAAACGGCGCCACGGGCGGUCAGAAGCCUCUUCUCUUCUUCUCCGCGCCUCGCCCAACAACUUUUUCCAGGCGACGGACGGAAGGAAAGUAGGUGGCAAGGCGACCCCUGUGGGGGGGAAUGUUCCCCGGGUCCGUCUCUCUCUCUUUCUCUCCUAGCCCAGGAGAGCGAGGGUCCUCCCGGCAGACGCAGCCGGCGCCUCAGUGAGCGAGCGCAGCGCCAGCCUCGGCUAUAUAUACGCCGCCCGCCGCAGCUCCGCUCCGCUCGGCGCGAGCCCACCUCGGCAACUCGUGGCCGCUCUCGCCCAGCUCCGGCUGCCGGCCUCUCGGCCCCGCCCCGCCCCUCUCGGCCCCGAGAGGAUCCCGCCGGGUCCUAGCGCCCUCCCACCGCACCUGCCACUGGAGGUUCAGCUUUCCCCUCGAACCGAAGCGGACUUGCUUGGGAUCGCUAGUUUGCCUUGUCUCUUUGCUUGCGCCUUCUUUGGACGCGGACGCCUGCCUGGCUGCCAACAGCAUGGGGCACCAGCGACAUCCAAGGUGGGGAAAGAUGAGGAUGAUGGUGUCCAACCACGAAGAGGUCGAUGCCGUUAGAUGGGGCGAAAUAGCCCCUGGCGUUGAGGGCUCCUUCGUGCAGGAUGCUGUUCCAGUGAAAGUUGUCUCCAGACUUCUGAAUGCCACCUUCCCCUCUCAACCAUCCUCUUUGUUGCAUCUGCUCUGAUCUUUCAGUUGGCUUUAAUUUAGAACUACCAUCAAAUGUGAGAAGCAUUUAUGAAUGCAGCUGUACUUUGUAAAGGGCAUAAAGCUAUGUCCGUAGACUGAGAAUCAACAUUGAACGGUCAGAGAAGGAAGAACGAGGGGGGGAAAUCACCAGCAUGGAUAAGCUGACACUUGUGCCUACUCACGUGUAGAAAAUAUAGUAUACAGCAUUUAAUGGAAGAGCAUUAAGCAAAGAAAACAACCCCUCUCUCACCUGCUGCAUAUUUCUUUUUUUGCCAUGACAGUUGUGACACAUAGAAGAUACCGAUAGCAGAAGCAGAUGCAGUGAUGAUGGAUCUUCAUAAUUCCUUUCUUCAGAGGCCAUCUCUUCUCAGGUUCCCAGCUGUAUGGGCCUGUUUUCAGACACUAGUCUGUGGCUUGCAUAGUUUUUUUCUGAUGCUAUGGAGAAAUAGAGCUGCAUGACAUCCACAUACUGAUGUUUUGGGAUGGGUGAGGUGGAAGCUGGGGCUGUUGAAAGGCAGGAGCUCUGUGAAAUGGAAGGGGAUCACCCAAAUUUGGGUAUACACAGAAAUAAGCAGAGCUAUUUUCCAGUUCUGAACUAUUUCUCCAUUCACCUUAUUUCUGAACUCAAUAUGAAGAGGGUUUGUGUGCCUGGAAAGUGGGGACUAUUUAAGUUUCUGGACAGUGUGUUUUGUUGGGACGAAAGGGCACAAUGACCAAUUAUAUGUGUGUAUGUAAUAGUAGAAGUGUAUAGAUUUCCUGCUUCAAAAACUGGAAGUGUACAGCAAAUUACAUCUAUACUAUAAAUAAAUAUUUUUUAUUAUUUAUAAAUAAUACUAUAAAUAUAUAAAUAUAUACAUAAAUAAAUAUAUAAAUAAAUAAUACUAUAAAUAAAUGAAUGUCAACUAACUAAAAUCAAAUGCAACAACACCGAGACACAAGACUCUUCUGCGUUCCAUGGUUCAUUAGGUGUGCAUUAUUUAUCUCCUGUACCAUCUUUGCACAUUUGCAAGGCAGCAUAACAGAAAGGGGUCACUACCUUGAGAGAAAGUGGGGGUGGGGGGGAAACAGCAGGGAUAUAAGUGAGCCCAGGAAGUCACCAUGCUUGAAUGUCAAUGCUGUAUACGUAGUUAUUUCUGGCAUUUCCACUCCCAAUGUAGUUAACAAAGUGUAUUUGAAACAAACAAACAAACCAAGUAAUGAAC